rnacentral:miRNA from 1 species
UGUAGUGUUACAGUGCUGAAACAUGCUAAAUGUAUAUUGCACAAAAAUGAUACACACUGUGCAUUUUUGUGCAAUAUACAUUUAGCAUGUUUCAGCACUGUAACACUUUAAGCACUCGUUU